ACUCUCUUAGUAUAAACAAUAUAACUGACUUCCAAUCAGUAGAUUCUGGAGCAACGGAAGAGAGUA
rnacentral:tRNA from 1 species